rnacentral:snRNA from 1 species
UGUGUGCGAGUCAACGGGU